GAUGAAGAACGUAGUGAAAUGCGAUAAGUAAUGUGAAUUGCAGAAUUCAGUGAAUCAUCGAAUCUUUGAACGCACCUUGCGCUCCUUGGUAUUCUGAGGAGCAUGCCUGUUUGAGUGUCAUUAAAUUCUCAACUACACUGACUUUGAAUUGGUGUGGCUUGGAUUUGGGGGGAAAAUUGUUGUGGGCUUUUUGUAUAGUCUGCUCCCCUGAAAUUGAUUAGCGGUACCUUUGUGGAACUGUCUACAGGUGUGAUAAUUAUCUACAUCUUAGACAUCUGCUGGAAUGCUGCUUUCUAAACCUUACUUGUAUUGACAAUCUUGACCUCAAAUCAGGUAGGACUACCCGCUGAACUUAAGCAUAUCAAUAAGCGGAGGA
rnacentral:misc_RNA from 1 species